CGGAGGGACAUUACUGAGUUACCGCUCUACAACCCUUUGUGAACAUACCUAACCGUUGCUUCGGCGGGCAGGGGAAGCCUCUCGCGGGCCUCCCCUCCCGGCGCCGGCCCCACCACGGGGACGGGGCGCCCGCCGGAGGAAACCAAACUCUAUUUACACGACGUCUCUUCUGAGUGGCACAAGCAAAUAAUUAAAACUUUUAACAACGGAUCUCUUGGUUCUGGCAUCGAUGAAGAACGCAGCGAAAUGCGAUAAGUAAUGUGAAUUGCAGAAUUCAGUGAAUCAUCGAAUCUUUGAACGCACAUUGCGCUCGCCAGCAUUCUGGCGAGCAUGCCUGUUCGAGCGUCAUUUCAACCCUCAAGCACCGCUUGGUUUUGGGGCCCCACGGCAGACGUGGGCCCUUAAAGGUAGUGGCGGACCCUCCCGGAGCCUCCUUUGCGUAGUAACUAACGUCUCGCACUGGGAUCCGGAGGGACUCUUGCCGUAAAACCCCCAAAUUCUUUACAGGUUGACCUCGGAUCAGGUAGGAAUACCCGCUGAACUUAAGCAUAUCAUA
rnacentral:rRNA from 1 species